rnacentral:rRNA from 1 species
UACGUAGGGGGCUAGCGUUGUCCGGAAUCAUUGGGCGUAAAGCGCGUGUAGGCGGCUCGCUAAGUCCGCUGUGAAAGUCGGGGGCUCAACCCUCGGAUGCCGGUGGAUACUGUCGGGCUAGAGUACGGAAGAGGCGAGUGGAAUUCCUGGUGUAGCGGUGAAAUGCGCAGAUAUCAGGAGGAACACCGGUGGCGAAGGCGGCAUCCUGGACCAACACUGACGCUGAGGAGCGAAAGCCAGGGGAGUAAACGGG